GGACGCUUAGCUCAGUUGGUAGAGCAGCUGACUCUUAAUCAGCGGGUCGUGGGUUCGAACCCCUCAGCGUCUA
rnacentral:tRNA from 1 species